AAUAGAUACCCGGGUAGUCCACGCCGUAAACGAUGAGUGCUAAGUGUUGGGGGGUUUCCGUCCCUCAGUGCUGCAGCUAACGCAUUAAGCACUCCGCCUGGGGAGUACGGUCGCAAGACUGAAACUCAAAGGAAUUGACGGGGGCCCGCACAAGCGGUGGAGCAUGUGGUUUAAUUCGAAGCAACGCGAAGAACCUUACCAGGUCUUAACAUCCCGGUGACCACUAUGGAGACAUAGUUUCCCCUUCGGGGGCAACGGUGACAGGUGGUGCAUGGUUGUCGUCAGCUCGUGUCGUGAGAUGUUGGGUUAAGUCCCGCAACGAGCGCAACCCUUAUUCUUAGUUGCCAUCAUUCAGUUGGGCACUCUAAGGAGACUGCCGGUGAUAAACCGGAGGAAGGUGGGGAUGACGUCAAAUCAUCAUGCCCCUUAUGACCUGGGCUACACACGUGCUACAAUGGACGGUACAAACGGUUGCCAACCCGCGAGGGGGAGCUAAUCCGAUAAAACCGUUCUCAGUUCGGAUUGUAGGCUGCAACUCGCCUACAUGAAGCC
rnacentral:rRNA from 1 species